rnacentral:rRNA from 1 species
AUUGAACGCUGGCGGCAGGCCUAACACAUGCAAGUCGAGCGGAUGAAGGGAGCUUGCUCCUGGAUUCAGCGGCGGACGGGUGAGUAAUGCCUAGGAAUCUGCCUGGUAGUGGGGGAUAACGUCCGGAAAGGGGCGCUAAUACCGCAUACGUCCUGAGGGAGAAAGCGGGGGAUCUUCGGACCUCACGCUAUCAGAUGAGCCUAGGUCGGAUUAGCUAGUUGGUGGGGUAAAGGCCUACCAAGGCGACGAUCCGUAACUGGUCUGAGAGGAUGAUCAGUCACACUGGAACUGAGACACGGUCCAGACUCCUACGGGAGGCAGCAGUGGGGAAUAUUGGACAAUGGGCGAAAGCCUGAUCCAGCCAUGCCGCGUGUGUGAAGAAGGUCUUCGGAUUGUAAAGCACUUUAAGUUGGGAGGAAGGGCAGUAAGUUAAUACCUUGCUGUUUUGACGUUACCAGCAGAAUAAGCACCGGCUAACUUCGUG